GCCUCCUCAUAGGAGCAGCGCUCCUCCAGACACUCCCUCUCCAGGUCGCCCGUCUUCACCUCCUCUAGGAAGGAGUUCGCCCGACGCGAACGAAGGAGCACCGCACUGGCAGCCCUCCUGCUAGCGAACACUCCCCCUGGGCCGGGGAAGGGGUGAGGAGGUGAGGAGGUGAGGAGUGAGGAGAGAGGAGGUGAGGUGAGGAGGUGAGGAGUGAGGAGGAGAGGAGUGAGGAGUGAGGAGAGGAGUGAGGAGAGAGGAGGUGAGGUGAGGAGGAGUGAGGAGGUGAGGAGGUGAGGAGUGAGGAGAGGAGCAGCCACUCACCGUGAGGCAGCGCGGGGCAGCAGCUGAGCCAGGACAGCAGCAG